GGCCUAUCUGCGGGCCUAAAACGCAGGACGGCGGGAGACGGCGACCUCCUAAAACGCCUA
ncrna:unclassified sequences GP20-b RNA